CAACGAUUCAUCGUUCUUGUUAGCACACCGCAAAGUAACUGCGCAGGAAGGCAUUGGGUUACUUUAUAUGAAGAAUUCCACGCACAGGCCUUGAUUUCUACCAAUCAGUGUUCACUCAUGAUAUGUCGUUCCAAAUAUACUCCCAAGGUCAGAGAGCGCAUAUCAAGUUCUGAAUUAUUGUUUGCGAGGAUGAACUUGAGGCGAGCUCAGGGCGCUUCUAGAAUGAAGUCAUGUGCAGACGCUCGUGGCGCAAACAUUCAGAAGCCGAAGGAGGUGGGUUCAAAGUUGGCGAACAAACUCGAUUCGAAAUCAGCGUGUCACUAGGAGAAACGGAGCAAUCGGUCUUCAUACGAGAACAUGGAGCUGUUAGUGGAUUGGACAAUAACACAAAUGACCCUGACAGGAAAUCGGGGAGCUUUUAUAAUGUUGGGAUAAGUACAGACAAAUCUGGCGUGACAUUAGAGAGUUGUAACGUCUACCAAUCCUCAUACCAAAUCAGGAAUUUGCAGAGGCUAUCGUUUUCCUCACUAAUCAGAUGGGAAAUCAAGGAGCCAUUUGGUUAGAAAGAUUUUCUUUGACAAGAAUACGCAACGCAAGAAUACGAGACAAAUACGCAAAUACGUAUACGAUAAACAACAGAUCAUUAUACAUGAGUAUAUGUCGUGAAUAAAUAAGUAUAAUUAUGUAGUAUCUAAGUGCGCAUGACAAAUGGAGUUAUCACAAGCAGUUAUAAAUGAUAAUUGGUAAUUAUGAUAUUUAAUAAAUGAAUUUGUUGUCAAAA